AAAAUAAUAAUAACAUGCAUGAAUUUGCAAUACAGUAGAUAAAAUAAAUGCAAUAGAUAAAAUUAAACAGCGCAAAUAAGAUAAAUGCUUAAAAAUACAUGGCAUUAAAAAAAAAUUAAAUUAAAAAAGAAAAAUACAAGCAAUUAAGCUCCACCUUGGGAAUUCCCAGCACAGUUGCCAUGCUUUUGCUCCAUGUCAUCACACCCAAACAUAAAUGGGAUUCUCUGAAAUUAAAAGGAAAUUAUUUGAAAAAUAGAGUCGCUAAACUCAUCGACAAGGCCAUCCUUGAAAAACUUAAUAUUGGUCCCUUAAAUAAAAACAUGUUGAAAAGAUCAUUACCGAAAAAUUCAAUUUUGGUCCCUUAAAAAAAGAAUUGUCAAAUGGGCCAUUUACGAAAAAAAGAUUAAUGUCGGUUUCUAAAAAAAAAAAAAAAAAUUUCAUUGAAUUGGCCCUUUUCUAAAAUAGGUGUUGAAUCAUAUGGUCGAUAAAAAUUGAGCUUUCAUUUCAUUCUUGACUAGUCUGAAUUACUAUAUUAUAUAGUGAAAAAAUAUUUCAAUACGUCCAAAAAUAAAUUUCAACCAAUAAAUCAUUUUUUUAAUCUCUCUUUAAUUAAUUAAUUUAUCUUUUUUAUGAAAGCAAUCGUCAUUGAAAAAAUUUGGACUCACAUCUACGCGACAAGCAACAUGUAUGAAAAUAAAAAAACGCAAAUAAACUCACUCAUCCACGACGACAUGACGCAUGAGAUUAAAGAUAUAAUACAAGAUUGUAUUACGCACACAAAUUAAUCCGAAUAUCUAUAUUAAAUUAAAAAAACAAAAAAAACAUAACACAUCCUCACGCAGAAAUCGAUAACGAACUCAACAAAAGAAUAAUCCUCUAGUAAUCCAAGAAGUGAACUCAUCCACACAGGAGAUUAAUGCACCUUAUAAGUCAAAUUCAUAUACACACCAUUUCAAAUCGUUAACAAAAUUCAUGUUUUGGGGUUUGAAAUCGACCUCCAAAAAUCCCAGAAUCAUUCCAGAAAAAUUAUGGAAUAAUAGUGGCAGGGGUGGCGUGUGUUCUUCAAGAGGAAGCGCGCCUGAACGAGCUUGGCAGUGGCGGUGCGUGUACUACACGCACUGCUGCUGGACUUGAAAAAAUAAAUAAAAAAUACAAGAUUUCUAUUUUUUAGGUGGCAAAGAGCUAGAAUAUUUUGGUUUCUUUUAGGGUUUGUUUCGGGGAAGGAAAAGGCCACAGUUUUAUGGUUGAUUUUCCUAGAAAGGAGCUAUGAUUUGCUACAGUUUUGGGGCAGAUCGGGUUUGUUAGUGAGUGGUUGGCGUUAUGGGCUGGUUCCCGACUGACGGAGAUGAAGGCUAUGAAUGGUAUGCAUUUUUAAGAGAAGAGAGGGAGGUUACUGUGAUGGUUUAUUUGUGAGGACAUGGGUUUCGGUGAUUGUCUUUACGUGAGGGAAUAGUGACAGUGGGUUUGUGAGGGGAUGGUUCAUUGGUCGAUGGUGGGAUGAGGUUGGUGGGUCUACAAUGGUUAUGGAGGCUGGAAUGAGGGCGGUUUGAUCCAGUUAGGUCAGUGAGAAAGAGUGAUUGAUAGGAAGGGCUGGAAGCUGUGGUGGAGUUCGGUUAGUAAUGGUGGUAUUGACAGUGAGAGGGAGUUGUGAGUGAGGGAGGCUCUGUGUUUUUUUGGUCGUGGGUUCAUGAUAGUUUUUAAUGUCUGGUUAAAGGGUUAAAGUUAUGGGAUUUGAUGCUGGAAACUUGGGUUUUUAUUUUGAUUCUUGGAAUUUAGGAGCUAAAAUUGCUGAGAAUCAAUUGAAAUUAUAACUGAAGUUUGAUUGAUUGUUCUGGGGAAGAAGAUGAAUAAAAUGACAUCGUUUUGGGGAAAAGCACCGAAUUCAAAUAGUUCAUGGAAUCCCUCCGCUUCUCAUUGUAGUCCUUUACCUAUUGAAUUUUCAAUUUCUAUUCAAAUAGAAUUUUAUUUUCAAUUUCAUCCCUAAAUGAAUAAAUUGAACCACUAAAUUUGUCUCUUUGUCCUAGUUUAGUCUUUGGUCCUUCAAUUGUUUUUAAUUGCAGCCAAAUCAAAACAUUUUUUCAUAAUUCUCUUGUCAAUUAUAUCCCCAAUUGCAUCCUAAAUUAUUCCUAUAAUUCUUUUCCCUUCUACAACUCAAACCUUGGGUUGUUAAGUUCAAUUACUUAUCCUAUUUUGUCCCAAUUAUAUUUCUCUCUCUUUUUUAUUACUUAUUUUAUUUUUUCUCAUUUUAUUUUUAUUUUUUAAAUUAUCUAUAACUUAACUUGUCACACAAAAAUAAACUAAAGUAACAAAAAUAAUAAUGAAAGGAUUGAAAUUGACAAGAUUUAUUAAUAUAUUUUUUUACUUUUUGAAAUAUAUAAAUAAAAAAAACUUUGAAAACAAGUGAUUUUUUUAAAUUUCAAAGAAUAGGACCUUUUAAGUGAUCAUACUAAGUGCCGUAACAUAAAAUUUGACCCCCGUUAAUUAAUUAUUUUUUAAAAUAUGCUUUUGAUUUAUGAGUUGAAAAUCCUUUUUUUAUUUACUUUUCUUUCAUAUAAUAAAUUGUUAUUAAUAAUAUUUUUUUAAAAAAAUAGAUUUUUUUCUUUGUUUGUUAAUAUUUCUCUCUUUUUAUUAUUAUUAAUGUGUGCCAUUUUUUUUUAAUUUAUCAUGUGCUAGGAUAUUGUUUAAUUAUUGUAAGUAAAUAUGACUGGAGUAAAUGUGACCCCAAAAGAUCUAUUAAGUGUGAUUGGUGUCCCUUGAAUUUAUUUUAGGCAUAACUCAAAAAACAAGUUUAGAGAUUAAUUUGUUAUUUGUCAUCGGUCUAACGCUCGUAUUUUAAAAAUGAGAAUUAAAUCUUAUUAACAAGCUCAUGUUUCAAAUCAUUAUUUUAGGAUUAACACUAAUUGAGGUAAAUUUUAGCAAAUGAGUAUUUUAUUCAUGAAAGAUAAAUAAUAAUGUAGCUUAUUUUAAGUAUGAUGCUUUAGAGUAAUGUAUAUCUUCUCUUUAGUAUAAUCAACUAAUUAGUAUUUUUAAUUAUUAUAAAACUUGAUGGUGAAUUCUAUUUUCUAUUUUUAUCUUUAGUUCACAGAUAUGUUACAUGCAACAAUUUUCAACACGAAGACUAGGCCAUGAUAACUUCUUUUUUUUUCAUAAUUUCUCUAAUCUCAAUAAGAAUGCUUGCUUUAAGGGGGGGAAAUUGAAAAAGUAGAGGUAACUCUUGAUGUAUGCAAACUAGGGUAAGGUUACAGUUCAUGUACAUUGAUAUUAUAUUUUUUUUUAAUAUAUGGUUUUAAGGAUACAGUUCAUGUACAUUGAUGUGGUGCAUCCAGAAGAGAAAUUCUUGUAACCAACAAUUUUGUUAAAUAUGAAUGGUACAGUCGAUUAUUCAUUUGAUUUCUACACAAAAUACACAUUAUAUAUUAUUAUAUGGUUCUAAUUUGGUUCUAGAGAUUAAAAAAAACGAAAACACUUACUUCAGUAACUAAAAUCAGAAGAACAUCUACCCCCUCUUGUUGUUUGUGGAAAAUCACGGCAUGUUAGAAGCAAUCUUGCAUGAGGAAAUAGAGAGCGAAGCAAAGCCA
rnacentral:lncRNA from 1 species